rnacentral:rRNA from 2 species
UGGGGUGCAGCAGGCGAGAAAACUUCGCAAUGUGCGAAAGCACGACAAGGUUAGUCCGAGUGAUUUCUGCUAAAGAGAUCUUUUGCUAGUUAUAAAACCACUAGUGAAUAAGGGGUGGGCAAGUUCUGGUGUCAGCCGCCGCGGUAAAACCAGCACCUCAAGUGGUCAGGAUGAUUAUUGGGCCUAAAGCAUCCGUAGCCGGCUCUGUAAGUUUUCGGUUAAAUCCAUGUGCUCAACGCAUGGGCUGCCGAAAAUACUGCAGAGAUAGGGAGUGGGAGAGGUAGACGGUACUCGGUAGGAAGGGGUAAAAUCCUUUGAUCUAUCGAUGACCACCUGUGGCGAAGGCGGUCUACCAGAACACGUUCGACGGUGAGGGAUGAAAGCUGGGGGAGCAAACCGGAUUAGAUACCCGGGUAGUCCCAGCUGUAAACGAUGCAGACUCGAUGAUGCAUUGGCAUAUAGCCAGUGCAGUGUCGCAGGGAAGCCGUUAAGUCUGCCGCCUGGGAAGUACGUACGCAAGUAUGAAACUUAAAGGAAUUGGCGGGGGAGCA